rnacentral:rRNA from 1 species
GAUGAACGCUGGCGGCGUGCCUAAUACAUGCAAGUCGAGCGAACAGACGAGGAGCUUGCUCCUCUGACGUUAGCGGCGGACGGGUGAGUAACACGUGGAUAACCUACCUAUAAGACUGGGAUAACUUCGGGAAACCGGAGCUAAUACCGGAUAAUAUAUUGAACCGCAUGGUUCAAUAGUGAAAGACGGUUUUGCUGCCACUUAUAGAUGGAUCCGCGCCGCAUUAGCUAGUUGGUAAGGUAACGGCUUACCAAGGCAACGAUGCGUAGCCGACCUGAGAGGGUGAUCGGCCACACUGGAACUGAGACACGGUCCAGACUCCUACGGGAGGCAGCAGUAGGGAAUCUUCCGCAAUGGGCGAAAGCUUGACGGAGCAACGCCGCGCGAGUGAUGAAGGUCUUCGGAUCGUAAAACUCUGUUAUUAGGGAAGAACAAAUGUGUAAGUAACUAUGCACGUCUUGACGGUACCUAAUCAGAAAGCCACGGCUAACUACGUG